UGGCCAGUAAACAGAGAGUACACAGCAGUCAGUCAUUCAUCCACCAUUUACUGACUAUGACGUGCUCGUGUUGAAUUGUAGCAGUAACAUCUUAAAAUAACGUCCUAAAGGUAUACAGAGGAGGAGACAUACAAAUGUAUGUCAAUUGGUAUUGGUAUGUUAUGCAGAUCACAUUUACCAUCCUCCUCCAUUACCUCUUCAAUGAAUAUCCCAUAGGCCUCUACAUUAUGGACACGGAAACAUGUUUGAUCCCCAUGCAAUGCAAUAUCAUUCUGGCUAUGGAUAUGGAGAACAUCCACACGCCAGAGGAUAUACCCAUAGGACUUGGGGCUCUGCUGGGAGUUUAGCUCUUAUUUAGAUUUUUUUAUUCUGCUAUGCCACUAGAAUCAUA